GACGAACGCUGGCGGCGUGCCUAAUACAUGCGAGUUGAGCGCUGAAGGUUGGUACUUGUACCAACUGGAUGAGCAGCGAACGGGUGAGUAACGCGUGGGGAAUCUGCCUUUGAGCGGGGGACAACAUUUGGAAACGAAUGCUAAUACCGCAUAAAAACUUUAAACACAAGUUUUAAGUUUGAAAGAUGCAAUUGCAUCACUCAAAGAUGAUCCCGCGUUGUAUUAGCUAGUUGGUGAGGUAAAGGCUCACCAAGGCGAUGAUACAUAGCCGACCUGAGAGGGUGAUCGGCCACAUUGGGACUGGGACACGGCCCAAACUCCACGGGAGGCAGCAGUAGGGAAUCUUCGGCAAUGGACGAAAGUCUGACCGAGCAACGCCGCGUGAGUGAAGAAGGUUUUCGGAUCGUAAAACUCUGUUGGUAGAGAAGAACGUUGGUGAGAGUGGAAAGCUCAUCAAGUGACGGUAACUACCCAGAAAGGGACGGCUAACUACGUG
rnacentral:rRNA from 1 species